rnacentral:lncRNA from 1 species
CUUCUCUCUGCCAGGUGUGGUGGUGGCACAUGGCUUUAAAAUCCAGACAGAGGGGGUUCGGGAUUUAGCUCAGUGGUAAAGCGCUUGCCUAGGAAGCACAAGGCCCCGGGUUCGGUCCCCAGCUCUGAGAAAAAAAAAAAAAAAUCCAGACAGAGGCAGGAGGAUCUUUGUGAUUGCAAAGCAGCUUGGUCUACCUGGCCAGUUUCAGGACAGCCAAAGCUAUCAUGAGACCGUGUCGCAAAAAGAAAAAGGAGCUUCAGAUGGAAGCCUUUUCAACAGAACAUUUAUUGAGUGCCAACUUUUCUGCUGCCUGAGCUUCCAUGCCUGUAAUCCUGCAUCCAUUUCCUGUGUCAGCAGCACAACUCGUCUCUGAAAGGGACAGGAAAAGAACAAGUAACAUCUGGGGCUCCAGCAUAUGUGGCCCUGAGCAGAUAUCCCUUCUCCCCCAAAGCCAAGAGUGUUCAGCUAGAUUCUGAUGCUUCCUUCACGCUGACAAUGUGUACGCUGACAGCAACAUGACGCCGAGGAACGUCUGCUGUUGGUGUCUGCAACUAAGUGCCUGCCCCGUUCCAGUCUUCCCUCCUCACAGUACUAUUACAACAUCUGGUUUGGGCCAGGUAGGGUGAUAAACAUCCUUUGAUCCUAGUACUAGAGAGGUAAAGGCAGGCCCAUCUCUUGUGAGUUUGAGGCUGGCCUGUGUCUGUAUGCCUCAUUGAAAGAAAGAAAAGAAAGAAAGAAGUCAGUUAGUUGGGUGUAAGGACUGGAGAAAUGGCUGCUGCUGGUGGGCUUGUCUAGCAGGCAGAAAGCCCUGGAUUUUAUCUCAAGCACUGCCAAACAGCAGCUCAAAUGCAACACAGCUUAAAACAAAUUCUAACUUAUGGGGCUGGAGAGAUGACUCAGUGGUUAAAGAAUACUUUCUGCUCUUGCAUGGGACCCAGGUUCGAUUCCCAAUAGCCACCCUGGAGCUUACAACCAUCUGUAAUUGGUAGUUCCAUGGGGACCUGACACCCUCCUCUACCCUCUACAGGUACCACGAACAUACAUCCACACAGGCCAAACACAUACAUGUAAAAUAAAAUCCAAUCUUAAAGGAAACAAAGAUAAAUGAUGACUUAAAAUUUCCUCCUCCAUUUAUAAACAUAGCCUUUGCUAGAGUUCCAGCCACUCACUGCAAGCUUCUCCCUUUGAGCUUCUCUUCGAAGUUGGCCUUUCAUUGGGGGAGCAGGGCGGCCAUCUACAGAUAAAAUUGAAAGAAAGGCAAAGUGUUCAAUGUGGUCUGGGCAUCUUGUCCAAACACUGGUGUGAUAGGAAUUAAGAAGAGAGUAAAUCUCUAGCUUUCCUCUUCAGUUCACACAGACUAUGGUUGGG